GCACAGGUAGUUCAGAGGUAGAAUUCUUGCCUUCCAUGCAGGAGACCUGGGUUUGAUUCCGUCUGUCUG
rnacentral:tRNA from 1 species